rnacentral:misc_RNA from 1 species
CAAUAAGUGUUAUUAUGGCACUUUAAAAUCCAUAUCCACCUUGUGUGCAAUGUUUUGAGCUCUCUUCAUUUCGAUGAAGAGAACUUUUAAUUACCUUAACUCUUAAUCUUUAAUUUUUUUGUCUGAAAAAUAUUUCGAAUUUAAUUCCAAAUAAACA